rnacentral:rRNA from 1 species
CCUACGGGAGGCAGCAGUAGGGAAUCUUUCACAAUGGGCGAAAGCCUGAUGGAGCAACGCCGCGUGCAGGAUGAAGGCCUUCGGGUUGUAAACUGCUUUUAUAAGCGAGAAAUAUGAUGGUAACUUAUGAAUAAGGAUCGGCUAACUACGUGCCAACAGCCGCGGUCAUACGUAGGAUCCGAGCAUUAUCCGGAGUGACUGGGUGUAAAGAGUUGCGUAGGUGGCAUAAUAAGUAGCUAGUGAAAUCUGGUGGCUCAACCAUUCAGACUAUUAGCUAAACUGUUAAGCUCGAGACCGUUAGGGGUAACUGGAAUUUCUAGUGUAGGAGUGAAAUCCGUAGAUAUUAGAAGGAACACCAAUAGCGUAGGCAGGUUGCUGGGACGGUUCUGACACUAAGGCACGAAAGCGUAGGGAGCAAACGGGAUUAGAUACCCCUGUAGUC